rnacentral:rRNA from 1 species
AUUGAACGCUAUCGGCAUGCCUUACACAUGCAAGUCGAACGGCAGCGGCGGAGCUUGCUCCAGCCGGCGAGUGGCGAACGGGUGAGUAAUACAUCGGAACGUACCCAGUAGCGGGGGCUAGCUCGGCGAAAGCCGGAUUAAUACCGCAUACGCCCUCCGGGGGAAAGGGGGAGUUCGCAAGACCUCUCCCAAUUGGAGCGGCGGAUGGCUGAUCAGCAAGUUGGUGGGGUAAAGGCCAACCAAGGCGACGAUCAGUAGCUGGUCUGAGAGGACGACCAGCCACACUGGGACUGAGACACGGCCCAGACUCCUACGGGAGGCAGCAGUGGGGAAUUUUGGACAAUGGGCGAGAGCCUGAUCCAGCAAUGCCGCGUGUGCGAAGAAGGCCUUCGGGUUGUAAAGCACUUUUGUCAGGGAAGAAAUCGUUUGGGUUCAUACCCCGAGCAGUUGGCGGUACCUGAAGAAUAAGCACCGGCUAGCUACGUGCCAGCCGCCGCCGUAA